rnacentral:rRNA from 1 species
AGAGUUUGAUCAUGGCUCAGAUUGAACGCUGGCGGCAUGCCUUACACAUGCAAGUCGAACGGCAGCACGGGGGUAACCCUGGUGGCGAGUGGCGAACGGGUGAGUAAUACAUCGGAACGUGUCCUGUAGUGGGGGAUAGCCCGGCGAAAGCCGGAUUAAUACCGCAUACGACCUAAGGGAGAAAGCGGGGGAUCUUCGGACCUCGCGCUAUAGGGGCGGCCGAUGGCAGAUUAGCUAGUUGGUGGGGUAAAGGCCUACCAAGGCGACGAUCUGUAGCUGGUCUGAGAGGACGACCAGCCACACUGGGACUGAGACACGGCCCAGACUCCUACGGGAGGCAGCAGUGGGGAAUUUUGGACAAUGGGGGAAACCCUGAUCCAGCAAUGCCGCGUGUGUGAAGAAGGCCUUCGGGUUGUAAAGCACUUUUGUCCGGAAAGAAAACCUCUUGGCUAAUAUCUGAGGGGGAUGACGGUACCGGAAGAAUAAGCACCGGCUAACUACGUGCCAGCAGCCGCGGUAAUACGUAGGGUGCGAGCGUUAAUCGGAAUUACUGGGCGUAAAGCGUGCGCAGGCGGUUUGUUAAGACAGAUGUGAAAUCCCCCGGGCUUAACCUGGGAACUGCAUUUGUGACUGGCAAGCUAGAGUAUGGCAGAGGGGGGUAGAAUUCCACGUGUAGCAGUGAAAUGCGUAGAGAUGUGGAGGAAUACCGAUGGCGAAGGCAGCCCCCUGGGCCAAUACUGACGCUCAUGCACGAAAGCGUGGGGAGCAAACAGGAUUAGAUACCCUAGUAGUCC